AUACUUAUCCAGCAGGGAAGACACCUUGAUGAAGAAGGUGCUUUUCCCAAGGUGAGACUCAUCCCUUGCUGACCCAUGUAAUUUUCUCAGAUGCAGGAAACUUGCCUGAAGUAUUAGUGGUAAGCUGGGCCUUGUUCACUCUCUUCCUGU
rnacentral:snRNA from 1 species